rfam:Colletotrichum higginsianum, IMI 349063, WGS project CACQ02000000 data, contig: cont1.8566
UCCUCCAUGGCCCAGUUGGCUAAGGCGUCCGACUGUUAAUCGGGAGAUCCCUGGUUCGAGCCCAGGUGGAGGAG